AAAAUGAGCCUAAAUCAACCAGGAAGGAGAGGUGCUCUUUUUUUUCUCUCUGAGAGGCUAUGACAGCCUUCUCCUGCACCCCAAGGUGCUAAAAGCAGCCACACUCCCUCAGGCUUUCUGCCACCCCGCUGGGACUCAGUCCUGUUAGAGUAGGAGUUCCAUCCCUGAUCAUCAGGGGCCUGUCCUCUCAAGGCAGAUGAGGGCUGAUUCUUCAGGGAUCAAGUGUCCUUCCUCUGUAGCCUAAACCAGGCCCCCAAAAGAAGACUGAAGAGAGAGUGAGGGCUCUGGCAGGCUGCUUCUAGUUUCCUCUUCCUUCAGUUCUCUCUCAUUGUUGUUAGUCUCCAGCAACCUGGCCUUGGCCCCGUCCCCUCACGAAUUCAUUCAUUGUUAAUAGGCAUGAGCAGUGGAGGUAGGAGAUAGGAGCCCUACACAUCCCUGAGUCCUGUUCCAGUCCUGGACCACCAGACAAGCUUUGUCAAACGCUCAGCCCCAGAUUUCAUGUUGUGAGAUCAGUCUUGGGACUUUGAGCAAUCUCAAAAAGGAGAGACUCCACCGAAGAGCUAGAGCGGUUUCUUCGUAGCUGUAUUUGCAGUCAGAUGCCUCUCUGUGGAUAGAUGGCCUCUCCGCUGAAGAACAGAGAACCGAUGUUUAACAACCAGAGAUGGGGCUAUAGGCCAGUAAUUCAAACCUCAGCAUAAUAAAAUAAAAUGAAAACACAGAAAGCUUAAAACAAGUUUCAGGUGUUUUAAUCUAUGACGUUUAUUUGCCUGGAUUCUGUACUCUGGUCACCAAAUGGGUCUACAUCUUUUGAGUGACAACUAGGUAAGUUUUCUUUGGGCCCAGAAUCGAUUUGUCAAUACAAAGUCAUGUUGAAUACCGAACGCCACAACGUGGUUCAUCUUACAUGUGCUCAGCAAAAUGGCUGUGGGUACCUGUGUGAAUGGAAAACCUACCCCCCCCCCCCCUGUGGAAAGGAAGCCUUGACUUGGACUGACUCAUUUGUGCAGAAGUCACCUAAUGGUGGCCAGCAGGCACCCUUUUUGAUGUGGCUUCCCUCUCAGGCUUAUCCUGUCAAACUGUCAAAGAGGAAUAAGGUUCCUUCCAUUUGACUCACCUUGGCUGUAACACCGCGGAAGGUGGAGAAAUGUCAAAGUACUCUGAAGGAGGUUGGGUGAGCUUGCUCACUGAGCUCUGUUAAGAUGGCCGAGAACCUGACAAUCUGCUACUUGGAUAUGGACAUAUGGAGAUGGGUGGUCUCUGGCAAACUGACUAACAGGCACAGAGCAUUGCCAGAAAGGAAAUACAGAAUUAUAAGUUCCCUACAAGGCUCUUAGGCAUGUGUAUCACUAUCCCUUGUUCCCCUGUACCCUCUCGUGCUCAUUCCUCCUUGCUGGUCCUUUUCCCAUCCAAGUAGCCCCCACUUCUGUUUUAUCUUGUUAUGUAUGUACAUGCAUUAUAUAAACCUGGGCUCUGCAUAUAUAUAUAAGAGCGAGCAUACGAUAUAUGUCUGAGUCAGGCUUAUUUUACUUAACAUCAUCUCC